UACGUAGGGAGCGAGCGUUGUCCGGAUUUACUGGGUGUAAAGGGUGCGUAGGCGGGUAAGCAAGUCAGAAGUGAAAUCCAUGGGCUUAACCCAUGAACUGCUUUUGAAACUGUUUAUCUUGAGUGAAGUAGAGGUAGGCGGAAUUCCCGGUGUAGCGGUGAAAUGCGUAGAGAUCGGGAGGAACACCAGUGGCGAAGGCGGCCUACUGGGCUUUAACUGACGCUGAAGCACGAAAGCGUGGGUAGCAAACAGG
rnacentral:rRNA from 1 species